GACGAACGCUGGCGGCGUGCUUAACACAUGCAAGUCGAGCGGAGCGGCGAACGGGUGAGUAACGCGUGAGUAACCGCCCCCCUCUCUGGGAUAACAGUUGGCAACGGCUGCUACUACCGGAUAGUGGGGGAUGACUCGCAUCAUAUCAGCUUGGGGGUGGGGUAGUGGCCUACCAAGGCGACGAAGGGUAGCCGGCCUGCGAGGGCGACCGGCCACAUUGGGAUGAGAUACGGCCCAAACUCCUACGGGAGGCAGCAGUGAGGAAUAGUGCACAAUGGGGGAAACCCUGAUGCAGCACCGCCGCGUGCGAGAUUACGGCCUUCGGGUUGUAAACCGCUGUCAGCCAUGACGCGGUAGUGGCAGAAGAAGCACCGGCUAACUACGUGCCAGCAGCCGCGGUAAUAC
rnacentral:rRNA from 1 species